CUACGGGUUGCUCCAGUCGAGAAUCUUUCUCAAUGGACGAAAGUCUGAAGAUGCGACGCCGCGUGGGGGAUGAAGGCCUUCGGGUCGUAAACCCAUUUUAUUGGAGAGGAAAGUCAAGAAGUUAACAGCCUUUUGAUCUGACUUUAUUCAAUGAAUAAGCCACGGCUAAAUCCGUGCCAGCAGCCGCGGUAAUACGGAUGUGGCAAGCGUUACUCGGUUUGACUGGGUGUAAAGGGUCCGCAGGCGGCCAAAUAAGUGAAAGGUGAAAUCUUUCGGCUCAACCGGAAAACUGCCUUUCAAACUGUUUGGCUCGAGGAUGGAAGGGGAGAGUGGAACUGCCGGUGUAAAGGUGAAAUUUGUGGAUAUCGGUAGGAACGCCCGUGGAGAAGUCGGCUCUCUGGUCCAUUCCUGACGCUGAGGGACGAAAGCUAGGGGAGCGAACAGGAUUAGAUACCCCGGUAGUC
rnacentral:rRNA from 1 species